GACGAACGCUGGCGGCGUGCUUAACACAUGCAAGUCGAACGGAAAGGCCCUGCUUUUGUGGGGUGCUCGAGUGGCGAACGGGUGAGUAACACGUGAGUAACCUGCCCUUGACUUUGGGAUAACUUCAGGAAACUGGGGCUAAUACCGGAUAGGAGCUCCUGCUGCAUGGUGGGGGUUGGAAAGUUUCGGCGGUUGGGGAUGGACUCGCGGCUUAUCAGCUUGUUGGUGGGGUAGUGGCUUACCAAGGCUUUGACGGGUAGCCGGCCUGAGAGGGUGACCGGCCACAUUGGGACUGAGGUGCGGCCCAGACUCCUACGGGAGGCAGCAGUGGGGAAUAUUGCACAAUGGGCGGAAGCCUGAUGCAGCAACGCCGCGUGCGGGAUGACGGCCUUCGGGUUGUAAACCACUUUCGCCUGUGACGAAGCGUGAGUGACGGUAAUGGGUAAAGAAGCACCGGCUAACUACGUG
rnacentral:rRNA from 1 species